rnacentral:piRNA from 1 species
UAAUAAAGGUCAGAUUUGGUAGAUGGAG